rnacentral:tRNA from 1 species
GCGGGUGUGAUGUAGUGGUAGCCUACUUGCUUCCCAAGCAAGUUGUACGGGUUCGAUUCCCGUCACCCGCU